AGCUUUGCGCAGUGGCAGUAUCUUAGCCAAUGAGGUUUAUCCGAGGCGCGAUUAUUGCUAAUUGAAAACUUUUCUCAAGUGUCACCUUCCUCAUGAAGCCCCAUGAAGUUUUCCCUAACAACUCCAGGUUAGUCUCUCGCCUCUAAAUUCCCACUGUCUCUUUGUAUGUAGGAAAGCGAUUUUAUCUACCCUUUGAAACGG
ensembl:snRNA U4 U4 spliceosomal RNA